rnacentral:sRNA from 1 species
UAUUUGCGUUAGGGAUUGAGCGGAAAUCCUUUUAUUGCCAUUUCGCAAUAAAAGAUUGCAGCAAAAGCCCGACCCGCC